UACGUAGGGUGCAAGCGUUAAUCGGAAUUACUGGGCGUAAAGCGUGCGCAGGCGGUUAUUCAAGACAGAUGUGAAAUCCCCGGGCUCAACCUGGGAACUGCAUUUGUGACUGCAUGGCUAGAGUACGGUAGAGGGGGAUGGAAUUCCGCGUGUAGCAGUGAAAUGCGUAGAUAUGCGGAGGAACACCGAUGGCGAAGGCAAUCCCCUGGACCUGUACUGACGCUCAUGCACGAAAGCGU
rnacentral:rRNA from 1 species